AAGUCAUGUUGAGGACAAUUCCUUAGAAGGCCAAUGUAUCUUUCCCAUGCUUCGUAUAAGGAUUCACCAAAUUCUUAUUGGAAGUUGGCUAUCUACUUUUUUUAGUU